ACGGAAGGCAGCAGUGGGGAAUAUUGCACAAUGGGGGAAACCCUGAUGCAGCGACGCCGCGUGAAUGAAGAAGUAUUUCGGUAUGUAAACCUCUAUCAGCAGGGAAGAAAAUGACGGUACCUGACUAAGAAGCCCCGGCUAACUACGUGCCAGCAGCCGCGGUAAUACGUAGGGGGCAAGCGUUAUCCGGAUUUACUGGGUGUAAAGGGAGCGUAGACGGUGUGGCAAGUCUGAAGUGAAAACCCGGGGCUCAACCUUGGAACUGCUUUGGAAACUGUUAAGCUAGAGUGUCGGAGAGGUAAGUGGAAUUCCUAGUGUAGCGGUGAAAUGCGUAGAUAUUAGGAGGAACACCAGUGGCGAAGGCGGCUUGCUGGACGGUAACUGACACUGAGGCUCGAAAGCGUGGGGAGCAAACAGGAUUAGAUACCCUGGUA
rnacentral:rRNA from 1 species